AUUUAUAUAGUUUAAUAAAAACAUUACAUUUUCAUUGUAAAAUUAGAUUUUUUCUUAUAAAUA
rnacentral:tRNA from 1 species